GCCACGCUUUUGAAAGAUGGUUUCGGCUAUCGCUUACAGAUGGGCCCGCGGUGCAUUAGCUAGUUGGUAGGGUAAUGGCCUACCAAGGCAACGAUGCAUAGCCGACCUGAGAGGGUGAUCGGCCACACUGGGACUGAGACACGGCCCAGACUCCUACGGGAGGCAGCAGUAGGGAAUCUUCCGCAAUGGACGAAAGUCUGACGGAGCAACGCCGCGUGUAUGAAGAAGGUUUUCGGAUCGUAAAGUACUGUUGUUAGAGAAGAACAAGGAUAAGAGUAACUGCUUGUCCCUUGACGGUAUCUAACCAGAAAGCCACGGCUAACUACGUGCCAGCAGCCGCGGUAAUACGUAGGUGGCAAGCGUUGUCCGGAUUUAUUGGGCGUAAAGCGCGCGCAGGCGGUCUUUUAAGUCUGAUGUGAAAGCCCCCGGCUUAACCGGGGAGGGUCAUUGGAAACUGGAAGACUGGAGUGCAGAAGAGGAGAGUGGAAUUCCACGUGUAGCGGUGAAAUGCGUAGAUAUGUGGAGGAACACCAGUGGCGAAGGCGACUCUCUGGUCUGUAACUGACGCUGAGGCGCGAAAGCGUGGGGAGCAAACAGGAUU
rnacentral:rRNA from 1 species